rnacentral:rRNA from 1 species
GCGGACAGAAGGGAGCUUGCUCCCGGAUGUUAGCGGCGGACGGGUGAGUAACACGUGGGUAACCUGCCUGUAAGACUGGGAUAACUCCGGGAAACCGGAGCUAAUACCGGAUAGUUCCUUGAACCGCAUGGUUCAAGGAUGAAAGACGGUUUCGGCUGUCACUUACAGAUGGACCCGCGGCGCAUUAGCUAGUUGGUGGGGUAAUGGCUCACCAAGGCGACGAUGCGUAGCCGACCUGAGAGGGUGAUCGGCCACACUGGGACUGAAACACGGCCCAGACUCCUACGGGAGGCAGCAGUAGGGAAUCUUCCGCAAUGGACGAAAGUCUGACGGAGCAACGCCGCGUGAGUGAUGAAGGUUUUCGGAUCGUAAAGCUCUGUUGUUAGGGAAGAACAAGUGCGAGAGUAACUGCUCGCACCUUGACGGUACCUAACCAGAAAGCCACGGCUAACUACGUGCCAGCAGCCGCGGUAAUACGUAGGUGGCAAGCGUUGUCCGGAAUUAUUGGGCGUAAAGGGCUCGCAGGCGGUUUCUUAAGUCUGAUGUGAAAGCCCCCGGCUCAACCGGGGAGGGUCAUUGGAAACUGGGAAACUUGAGUGCAAAAGAGGAGAGUGAAAUUCCACGUGUAGCGGUGAAAUGCGUAGAGAUGUGGGAGGAACACCAGUGGCGAAGGCGACUCUCUGCUCUGUACUGAC